GAUGAAGAACGUAGCGAAAUGCGACAAGUAAUGUGAAUUGCAGAAUUCCGUGAAUCAUCGAAUCUUUGAACGCACAUUGCGCCCCCUGGUAUUCCGGGGGGCAUGCCUGUCCGAGCGUCAUUACAACCCUCAAGCUCAGCUUGGUGUUGGGCCCCGCCGCCCCGGCGGGCCCUAAAGUCAGUGGCGGUGCCGUCCGGCUCCGAGCGUAGUAAUUCUUCUCGCUCUGGAGGUCCGGUCGUGUGCUUGCCAGCAACCCCCAAUUUUUUUCAGGUUGACCUCGGAUCAGGUAGGGAUACCCGCUGAACUUAAGCAUAUCAAUAAGCGGAGGA
rnacentral:misc_RNA from 1 species